CGCGUAGGCGGGUUUGUAAGUCAGAGGUGAAAUCCUGCAGCUUAACUGCAGAACUGCCUUUGAAACUACAAAUCUUGAGUUUGGAAGAGAGAGACGGAAUUCCAGGUGUAGUGGUGAAAUACGUAGAUAUCUGGAAGAACACCAGUGGCGAAGGCGGUCUCUUGGUCCAUAACUGACGCUGAGGCGCGAAAGCGUGGGGAGCAAACA
rnacentral:rRNA from 1 species